rnacentral:lncRNA from 1 species
AGUGAUGUCUAGCAACAUAUAGUAGCAAUCCAAUAGAAUAAAAAAGUAAACUGCUAGGUACAGUUAUCGUGUGAUACAAUCCCUCUAUCGAGAGUCCCGACUUGAUGGAGAUCAUGGAGAACUCAUCAAAUCCCUUCGUCAGUCAUAUGCUAGAUUGGCUCAACUCGAGUUUAUUUAUAAAUCUCGUGGAAACUCUUUUCUAGUAUUCACACAUACUCUGGCCAGAG